CAGUAGCCGCGGUAAUACAGAGGGUGCGAGCGUUAAUCGGAUUUACUGGGCGUAAAGCGUGCGUAGGCGGCUUUUUAAGUCGGAUGUGAAAUCCCUGAGCUUAACUUAGGAAUUGCAUUCGAUACUGGGAAGCUAGAGUAUGGGAGAGGAUGGUAGAAUUCCAGGUGUAGCGGUGAAAUGCGUAGAGAUCUGGAGGAAUACCGAUGGCGAGGGCAGCCAUCUGGCCUAAUACUGACGCUGAGGUACGAAAGCAUGGGGAGCAAACAGGAUUAGAUACCCCAGUAGUCCCUGUCUCUUAUAC
rnacentral:rRNA from 1 species